AUUGAACGCUGGCGGCAGGCCUAACACAUGCAAGUCGAGCGAGCGGCGGACGGGUGAGUAAUGUCUGGGGAUCUGCCCGAUAGAGGGGGAUAACUACUGGAAACGGUGGCUAAUACCGCAUACUAUCGGAUGUACCCAGAUGGGAUUAGCUAGUAGGUGGGGUAAAGGCUCACCUAGGCGACGAUCCCUAGCUGGUCUGUGAGGAUGAUCAGCCACACGGGGACUGAGACACGGCCCAGACUCCUACGGGAGGCAGCAGUGGGGAAGAUUGCACAAUGGGCGCAAGCCUGAUGCAGCCAUGCCGCGUGUAUGAAGAAGGCCUUAGGGUUGUAAAGUACUUUCAGCUGGGAGGCGUUACCCGCAGAAGAAGCACCGGCUAACUCCGUGCCAGCCGCCGCGGUAAUAC
rnacentral:rRNA from 1 species